GACGAACGCUGGCGGCGUGCUUAACACAUGCAAGUCGAACGGAAAGGCCCUGCUUUUGUGGGGUGCUCGAGUGGCGAAAGGGUGAGUAAAAAGUGAGUAACCUGCCAUUGAGUUUGGGAUAAAUUCAGGAAAAUGGGGUUAAUAGAGGAUAGGAGAUAAUGAUGCAUGGUGGGGGUUGGAAAGGUUCGGCGGUUUGUAAGGGACGAGAGGAGGAUCAGCUUGUUGGUGGGGUAGUGGCUUACCAAGGCUUUGACGGGUAGCCGGCCUGAGAGGGUGACCGGCCACAUUAAUACUGAGAUACUGACCAGACUCCUCCACUAGACAUCAUUACAUAAUAGUGCACCCUGGUCUGCAGCCUGCUGCCGCACCUCCACAUUCGAUAUGACGGCCUUCGGGUUAUACACCUCUUUCGCCUCUGACGAAGCGUCAUUGACAAUAAUUAGUAAAGAAGCACCGGCUAACUACAUG
rnacentral:rRNA from 1 species